CCACAAAACACAGGCGGAUACAGGGGGAGGAAUUCAGAGCUCAGGUGCAGAAGAGUUCAGCAGAAUUUCCUCAAACAUUGAGUGCUCAGCCAUACCAAGAUGAUGCAAAAGUAUUUCAUCUUGAUGUCUGAUGAUGGUUUCUUCAGUUCCAAUAGAUCAUUUUGUUCUGAUCCUGCUAAUGUCAGUGGUACAGCACCAUACUCUGGAUGAAAUUACAGCAAGAAAGAAUUACUUUUUUAAGAAAAAAAUUAGCUUCGGGGAGCAAGAUAACACUGGCGUCAUUUCUUCAGUUACCACUUACCAGGCAGGCGAGCAAGCAUCACUGCAUGAGUUUGGACUUCAGACUACAG
rnacentral:lncRNA from 1 species